AACGAACGCUGGCGGCAUGCCUAACACAUGCAAGUCGAACGAAGGCUUCGGCCUUAGUGGCGCACGGGUGCGUAACGCGUGGGAAUCUGCCCUUGGGUCUGGGAUAACGGCGGGAAACUGCCGCUAAUACCGGAUGAUAUCGCGAGAUCAAAGAUUUAUCGCCUGAGGAUGAGCCCGCGUAGGAUUAGGUAGUUGGUGUGGUAAAGGCGCACCAAGCCGACGAUCCUUAGCUGGUCUGAGAGGAUGAUCAGCCACACUGGGACUGAGACACGGCCCAGACUCCUACGGGAGGCAGCAGUGGGGAAUAUUGGACAAUGGGCGCAAGCCUGAUCCAGCAAUGCCGCGUGAGUGAUGAAGGCCUUAGGGUUGUAAAGCUCUUUUACCCGGGAAGAUAAUGACUUACCCGGAGAAUA
rnacentral:rRNA from 1 species